rnacentral:rRNA from 1 species
AAAAGGUGGCUAUGCUACCGCUUUUGGAUGGGCCCGCGGCGCAUUAGCUAGUUGGUGGGGUAAAGGCUUACCAAGGCAAUGAUGCGUAGCCGAACUGAGAGGUUGAUCGGCCACAUUGGGACUGAGACACGGCCCAAACUCCUACGGGAGGCAGCAGUAGGGAAUCUUCCACAAUGGGCGAAAGCCUGAUGGAGCAACGCCGCGUGGGUGAAGAAGGUCUUCGGAUCGUAAAACCCUGUUGUUAGAGAAGAAAGUGCGUGAGAGUAACUGUUCACGUUUCGACGGUAUCUAACCAGAAAGCCACGGCUAACUACGUGCCAGCAGCCGCGGUAAUACGUAGGUGGCAAGCGUUAUCCGGAUUUAUUGGGCGUAAAGGGAACGCAGGCGGUCUUUUAAGUCUGAUGUGAAAGCCUUCGGCUUAACCGGAGUAGUGCAUUGGAAACUGGGAGACUUGAGUGCAGAAGAGGAGAGUGGAACUCCAUGUGUAGCGGUGAAAUGCGUAGAUAUAUGGAAGAACACCAGUGGCGAAAGCGGCUUUCUGGUCUGUAACUGACGCUGAGGUUCGAAAGCGUGGGUAGCAAACAGGAUUAGAUACCCUGGUAGUCCACGCCGUAAACGAUGAAUGCUAAGUGUUGGAGGGUUUCCGCCCUUCA